CGUGGCUCUGUUGCUAUGGUAGUAAGAACAUGCUUUCGUUCUUCCAUAGGUGUUUGCAUGGGGACAUAUGUGGCUGUUUCCAUGGCAACAAGGUGCCUUAUCUCUUAGUGGAGCAGGAGUACAUAAGAAAAAAAGGCUUGAAUGAGUCCGAAGAGGGGGAAAUUGAAAGUGAAACUGGGCACUUCCAAAGCUAUGAUGCUGUGAGGCAAAGAAAAAAAUUCAACCUUCAAGUGUCCUGUGUUCAAGGAAUAAAAACCUCAGGAGUCCUGGCCUUCAACAAAUUUGAAGCCCAGUUCCUUAUCUUACAGAAGCAGAAAAUAAAACCCAUGGGGAGCCAUUUUGUAUUUGUAAAGGAUUUCAUGGAAAGGCACAGAGAACUACCUAGAAUGAGAAGGCCGGAAGGAAUUGAGGGAGCAUCACCCCUCCCUCCAUGAUCAAAAAUCACAAAUCCGUCAAAGCAACAUACCUGGCUGUAUUUCUAUUCUAAGCCUGUAUCACAUCUCAGGGUAAAUAUAUUACCUGCUGUGUGAAGAAGGGCCUCCUGUUAUUUGUCCUACAUUUAAUUAUCUCAAUGUAUGUUAUUUUCAGCUU
rnacentral:lncRNA from 1 species